AAGUGGCCCAUGGCACAGGAAGGCGCUCUGGGGAGCCGGGGGCUGCAAAGGGGGCCUUCAUCCCCAGAAAAGGAAGAAGCUGGGGGAGACUCAGGAGACCCAAGGUGCUGCCAGCCCAGCUGCUCAAGUGUCCACCUUUUGUGCCCCUGUGCAGUGACCCCACAGCCCAUGCCGGUGUCCCUCAGAGACCAGACACUGGACCCACCACUGGCUCUGCCAGCCUAAGGCGUAAGCCGGGCUGCAGAAGGUUCUAGUUUGAGCAGAAGGGAACCCGCACAGCCCUCACAGCCCUCACUCUGCACGGGGCACACGCCUGCCACCUUCCUGCGGGGCACAGCCCCUGGCCUCUCAUCCAGCCCAUUAAACAAGAAGCCCAAGCACACCUCUCCUGCGCUGGGGUGGGGCAUGUGGUGGGGAUUGGGGUUACCACUAGCAAGACUGCCUGGGGGAGCCCCCUGACUCAGACUGCCCCCAGCCCUGGACAGCAGUUCCUACAGAAAGCAAGGCUCAGCCAGGCAGGCAGAGAGCCUAGGGAUUGAGCUGGGAUUCGCCUGCUUCUGGGAGCCAGAGGUGUGCCUCCCCCCAACCCCCACCCAAGAAGCAGUGGAGUGGCACUUGUAACUGCAUCCAUGCUGGGUAAUCUUGGAGGGGUGCAGCCCCACCCCCAUCCUCUGUCAGGGUCCCUGCCUUCGCCCACCUUCCCAGACAAUUCUGGGUGGUGGCCAGCAGGGGAGGGCCCUAAAUGAAACCCUGGACCCUCAAGCAUGAAAUCCCAAGUUCGAUCCCCAGCAUCACGUGUGCCAGAGUGACACUCUGAUUCUCUCUCUCUCUCCUUAAUUAAUAAACAACUUUUUUAAAUGCC